CGGCCCUCAGCGGCGGCACCGGGCCACAGGGAGCGGCGCCCGGCAGGACGCCUGCCACCUGUUCGCUCGCGUUUGAGGGCUGGUUCAAAACCACCCUCUGCAGGGAGAAAUUGGUCUGUCGUGUCCUUAGCGACGUUAGGAGCGGUAGUUGAAAUUGUGAACACGUAGUGGAGGCUCCAAUCUGGUAAACAUCUCUUGGUUUAUUUCCCAUGCAUGUCACGGUGCAGUCCCUUUAUGAGCAGUGCAGAAUAACAGCAUAAGCCUCACUCCCCACCUCAGAAAAUUCUGCUUCCAUCUGAGUAUUUUUGUAGCCUAAUAAAUUCAUGUGCGUGUCUCUUGCAGACAAUAGGGCUCAAAAUGCAAAGAUGAUUUAUGAGAAUUCCACUUUCAAACAGCUAUGUUUUAGUGCAGUAUUUCAAUAAGCAUGCAAAGAAAUUUUAGAGGAACAAAUCAUUCAUUAUUCAUGUAUGCAAGUAAAAAAAUAAAAAAACAAAAAAAUCACUGUUUGCAAAGUCUGACAGUCACUGCAGAGGAGAGGGCUGUGCAGUCCACUGCUGUCUUCCUUGUCAGCAAAGGGAAGCAGGGACCCAGCCGACUGCAUGCCACCCAUGCAAUUAGCAAAGGUCUCUUCAUCAACCAGAAAUUUGCACAGGAUGCUUGAGAGGUUGGACAGGAUGGUCAUUAAGUAAAUUAAGUUUCUGCAAAUCCAGAAACACAAGUAGUGAAAAACAAAUUCUCUGUCGUCUCUUGAGAAGACUGAAUGUCAUACAAAAGAAAUACAAGGAGAAUUAAGUGGUCCACCUCGGGCAAUACCAAUGUCUUGCAUAACCUCUGCUCUUGGGGUUUCAGCCCUAUGAGUGGAUUUCUGUAAACAUUAUACAAGCAAGGCAUGGUUUAUAGAAAGAGAUGCCUUUUAUUAGACCACGGCUGGCAAAUUGAGACUGCGUUUCAAGUACAUAAAAUAUCUUUCUUCAGUGGAAAUAGAAUUCUGUUCUAUUACCUUGAAAAUUCAAGGUCAAAUACAGCUUGGAGUCAGUUGCUCAGAGCUGAAUCAGAUGCAUGUCACAUAAUUUUGGAAGUAGAGGUCGUUGUUUCCUGCAGACUAGAAUGGAUGUUAAUAGGAAGCUAGAGGGAGUGAUAAACUCCUUGGAAUAUCCUUGGGGCAAAAGAAAAAUAGGCAGUUUACAGCCUGUGGGACACAAAAGGACUAGUGAAGGAGGAGAGGGAAGGGAAUAUCUGUGCAGGAAGAGCAGUUCUGAGUCUGUGGGCUUUGAUACCCAGUGUGUGCACCCACGGACCUUGCUGUGCCCGCAGGGCAGCCCAGCAGAGCCAGACCUUUUCCUGCUUCAGGUGUGUGCCUACCUGGAUGGAAACCAGGUCACUGAACAAAGCCAGGUACAUUCACAAGGCAGUGGGGCACACCUUGCAAAGAUGGCUGUUUGAAGGGCUGAAGAUUUGCUCAAGCAGGAUGUUUGCACAAUCUUUGCUUUAAGGAGAGCCUGUGUGGUCCUGCAUGGUCUGUGGUGACAUGGGCUGCUUGUUAGCAGAAGUCUGAAUAAAGGCAGCACAAGCAGAUUUGUCUUUGUUUCCGGCUUUACAGUUUUUAGAAGCAUUGAUGUAAGUCCAUAUCUACAUUGAAACUUCUGUUUUUUUUUCUCUCUUCCUCCCACAGUCUUUCAGAACUCUACAUUUCCCCACCAUACAGGAAUUCCCAACUGUGGAAUAAACCCAGAGCCGCCCUGGUGCCCGAUCCAGGUUCCCACUGAGGCCUGUGAUGACACUGGAGAUGGGGCAGAGCAUGAGGCCACGAGUGCCAGCCCCAAGCUGGAGCUGCUGGCCCUGGGGCAGAGCAGGCUCUGCGCAGCACAAACCAGGGCAGGGGAAGGGCAGCAGCACCACAGACAUCAGGAAGGCUCCACUGUUGCCAGCUCAUGGCUUUGUGUGGCCCCUCUCAGGGGCAGGAGGAAAAGGCUUGGCCAAGGUGAACACAGUGACGCUGCAACAGAGCAUACGAGGAGUGUGCUUUGUGGUAGUCUUUAUUUAGGAACCGUGAGUAACUACAGCCGUAGCGGUCUCAUCUUUGCAGCUCUGAUGGUUUAACAAACAGGGAGAACAUUAGCAUAUUUUUAUUAAGGUACAAAAUACACCCCGUUGUUGCCUAAAACAUUAAAAAAGUGAGGAAAGCUCUGUAUGCUCUAAAUCAGAUUCAAAACCUUUCUGUAUAAGGAAUUGUGGCAAUACUGUGUUUAGUAUAACAAGAGGUUUUUAUCAAUCAGAAAAAAGACAUGCUGGCAAUCUGAACUUAGCAACGAAGAGUAAAGCAGUUACAAACCGUUGUGUCAUCCACAUUAGUUGAACUUUGAAUGUAGAAGAGCAAAUCAUAUGAAACACAUACACAACUAGGUAAUAUCAAACAACCUAAGGUUGAUAAUGUACACACCUGUAUUAAAGUACACUGACUACUUAAUGGUGAGGAUUUAAGGUAAUGUUUUUUUUUCAAAAGAGGUAAUCUUUGAAAUGCAAAUGGUUGCACUUUACACACAAAAAGUGGAAAAGAAAAAGAAUCACUUCUGGAAUGAUACAUAGAUAUAAGACACACUGGUUUUGGAUUAUGCAUAAUCACCUUGCAGCCUCUGAUAUUACCUCUGAACAACAACAACAAAAAAUUAAAAAGUGCCAAUACUGUGAAAGGAAAGCAAAGUUACUAAGUCUGAGUGUGUUAACCAUUCUGAAAAAAAAA